GACGAACGCUGGCGGCGUGCCUAACACAUGCAAGUCGAACGGAGAUUUUAUUUAUGAAAUCUUAGUGGCGAACGGGUGAGUAACGCGUAGACAACCUGCCUUUUAGAUGGGGACAACACCGCGAAAGUGGUGCUAAUACCGAAUGUUGUAUUUUGGUCGCAUGAUUGAGAUACUAAAGAUGGCCUCUAUUUAUAAGCUAUCACUAAAAGAUGGGUCUGCGUCUGAUUAGCUAGUUGGUGAGGUAAUGGCUCACCAAGGCGACGAUCAGUAGCCGGUCGGAGAGGAUGAACGGCCACACUGGGACUGAGACACGGCCCAGACUCCUACGGGAGGCAGCAGUGGGGAAUCUUCCGCAAUGGACGAAAGUCUGACGGAGCAACGCCGCGUGAGUGAAGAAGGUUUUCGGAUCGUAAACCUCUGUUUUCAGGGACGAAUGUGCGAUGUGUAAAUAAUGCAUUGUAAUGACGGUACCUGAGUAGAAAGCCACGGCUAACUUCGUGCCAGCCGCCGCAGUAA
rnacentral:rRNA from 1 species